AUUGAACGCUGGCGGCAGGCCUAACACAUGCAAGUCGAACGAGUGGCGGACGGGUGCGUAAUGUCUUGGAAACUGCCUGAUGGAGGGGGCUCACUACUGGAAACGGUAGCUAAUACCGCAUACCAUCAGAUGUGCCCAGCUGGGAUUAGCUUGUGGGUGGGGUAACGGCUCACCAAGGCGACGAUCCCUAGCUGGUCUGAGAGGAUGACCAGCCACACUGGAACUGAGAAACGGUCCAGACGACUACGGGAGGAAGCAGUGGGGAAUAUUGCACAAUGGGCGCAAGCCUGAUGCAGCCAUGCCGAGUGUAUGAAGAAGGCCUUCGGGUUGUAAAGUACUUUCAGCGGGGAGGCGUUACCCGCAGAAGAAGCACCGGCUAACUCCGUGCCAGCAGCCGCGGUAAUUC
rnacentral:rRNA from 1 species